rnacentral:rRNA from 1 species
UGCCAGCCGCCGCGGUAAUACGGAAGGUGCAAGCGUUGUUCGGAUUGACUGGGCGUAAAGCGCGUGUAGGCGGGCUUGUAAGUCGGAUGUGAAAGCCCCGGGCUCAACCUGGGAAUUGCAUCCGAAACUACAAGUCUUGAAUGCUUGAGGGGUUAGUGGAAUUCCAGGUGUAGGAGUGAAAUCCGUAGAUAUCUGGAGGAACAUCGGAGGCGAAGGCGGCUAACUGGCAGUGCAUUGACGCUGAGACGCGAAAGCGUGGGGAGCCAACAGGAUUAGAUA